UCCUCAGUAGCUCAAUGGUGGAGCAACCGGCUGUUAACCGGUAGGCUGGCGGUUCGAGGCCGUCCUGAGGAGCCA
rnacentral:tRNA from 1 species